AGUGCUGGAAUUUCGGGCCCACGACUGACUUUACAAUAGUACUUACUUACUCUGUUAUCUCUAUAAACAUCCUCACUCUCACCAGUACUUUGUGACUGACAAUCCAUUACCUUUCAUCUGGGCAAUUCAACCUUGAGACUCAAAUGAUUCCUUAAGAGUUACAUGUCUAAUCGCUCCUUUUGAACUGUAAUGCAUUGGAAAGCAUACACCAUGAUCUAUACUUGUUUGAAUACUCUUCUCCUAUCUUAUUCUAAGUGUUGUGCACUUAGCACCUUAAAAUAAUUAACUAGGAAAGCACUCAUUUUUGAUGUCCAUUUCUUUAUGUUUAGUAACAGAGGACGGGACAUAGUUUGCAGAGUUGGAGGACAGAGUUGUCCUCCCAAGAGGAAGCUGAUUUGUAAUGUUUGGGGGGAGGGGGCCUGUUCCUGUGGCUGUGGCUGUUUUGUUUAGGGGAACCAUAUGCACUGGCUGGCUAAUUCACAGCCACGGCGAGUUGUCAGGGAGAGAAAGCACUGGAUCUACUGCACUCCACCUUCCUCUACCCAUUUUAGAGAGAGUAAGUUUAUCUUUCUGUCUUCCAGUCAUUUCAGAGCACAACUGGGAACCUGGUCGAUUGGCCAGGAGCACACUUUCUGACAGACUUUCCUCUUUUUAUCGAGUUUUCCUUUCCUCUGGCUUUGAACCUUUUCCACUGAGUCUUCACGACAUCGCCUGUGAUUUUAAGGUUAUGUGAAGCUGAGUGCCCUAAAGGGACCCACACCCCAGCGUGGACUUUUGGAGGCAGUAAAAAGGAGGUAAAAAUUUACCGAGGCUGGUGGCAGCGUGCAAACAAUGCUGGCAACGCGUUAAGGAGAGGAGAGUCUCGCUCCCCGCCCCGGCUACACUCGAAGAAAAGUCGGGGUGGGCAGCCAGGGGCAGGGAAAGGAGAAGACUGAUAAGGAAACUCUGGAGACGGCGGCGGAGACGGACAGACGGACAGACAGGAGAAGCUGAAGGGCUGCGAGGACAGACCUGAGGGGCGCCGGCGAUAUGCAGCCUGAGGCGCUAUGAGUUAGACGGAACAGCUUGAGUCCAGACACCUGCUGUUGGAGAAACAACAGAUCAACCGGUCACCAGACUCCAACAGAGCAUUUGGCACAAGUGAAAUCAAAGUCAUUGAAGUGAAUGAAUGAAUGAUGGUAAAUUUAUCUCCAUUACCCGGAUGAGGAAACAGGCUCAGAGGUCUUAACUGACUGUCCCAAGAACCUCUUGCACUGAAGGCGGGAUCUCCAUGGGGCAUAGACAUGGAGACUAAAUGGCUGCAGGAUUUAAACUGGAGAAAAGGGAAUCAAAACUUAUGAAUAUAGUUGUAUGUGGAAUAAAACUUUCAUGAAACAUU